CUGGUUGAUCCUGCCAGUGGAAUAUGCUUGUUUCAAAGAUUAAGCCAUGCAUGUCUGAGCAUGCGCUGAAGUAAAGUGAAGCCGCGAAUAGCUCAUUACAACAGCCGUUGUUUCUUGGAUCUCUUCUCUACUUGGAUAACUGUGGUAAUUCUAGAGCUAAUACAUGCAAACAAGCCCUGAACGUGAGUGACGGGCGCAUUUAUUAGAACAAGACCAUCUGGCUUCGGCCAUACGUUGGUGACUCUGGAUAACUGAGCCGAUCGCACGGGCUUGUCCCGGCGACGUAUCUUUCAAGUGUCUGCCUUAUCAGGUUUCGUUGGCGGUUUAUGUGACCGCCAAGCCUGUAACGGGUAACGGAGGAUCAGGGUCUGACUCCGGAGAGGGAGCCUGAGAGACGGCUACCACUUCUAAGGAAGGCAGCAGGCGCGCAAAUUACCCAUUCUUGGCUCAAGGAGGUAGUGACGAAAAAUACCAAGGUGAGGCUCAUCGAGCUUGACCAUUGGAAUGAGAACAAUCUAAAUCCUUUAACGAGGAUCUAGUGGAGGGCAAGUCUGGU
rnacentral:rRNA from 1 species